rnacentral:rRNA from 1 species
AGCGAACGCUGGCGGCAGGCCUAACACAUGCAAGUCGAACGCCCCUUCGGGGGAGUGGCAGACGGGUGAGUAACGCGUGGGAACGUGCCCAUCGGUUCGGAACAACCCAGGGAAACUUGUGCUAAUACCGGAUACGAUCUACGGAUGAAAGAUUUAUCGCCGAGGGAGUAGCCCGCGUAGGAUUAGCUAGUUGGUGAGGUAAUGGCUCACCAAGGCGACGAUCCUUAGCUGGUCUGAGAGGAUGAUCAGCCACACUGGGACUGAGACACGGCCCAGACUCCUACGGGAGGCAGCAGUGGGGAAUAUUGGACAAUGGGCGAAAGCCUGAUCCAGCCAUGCCGCGUGAGUGAUGAAGGCCUUAGGGUUGUAAAGCUCUUUCACCGGGGACGAUAAUGACGGUACCCGGAGAAGAAGCCCCGGCUAACUUCGUGCCAGCAGCCGCCGUAA